CGGAUAUGGCGGAAUUGGCAGACGCGCCAGACUUAGGAUCUGGUGUCUAGGACGUGGGGGUUCAAAUCCCUUUAUCCGC
rnacentral:tRNA from 1 species